rnacentral:rRNA from 1 species
UGCCAGCAGCCGCGGUAAUACAGAGGGCCCGAGCGUUGAUCGGAAUCACUGGGCUUAAAGGAUACGUAGGCGGAUUGGCAAGUGUGUUGUGAAAUCCCACGGCUCAACCGUGGAAUUGCUUCGCAAACUGCCAAUCUUGAGCCCGUCAGGGGUCGUCAGAACUCUAGGUGGAGCGGUGAAAUGCGUAGAUAUCUAGAGGAAUGCCAAAGGUGAAGACAGACGACUGGGACGGAGCUGACGCUCAGGUACGAAAGCAUGGGUAGCGAACGGGAUUAGAUA